GACGAACGCUGGCGGCGUGCCUAAUACAUGCAAGUAGAACGCUGAAGGAGGAGCUUGCUCUUCUGGAUGAGUUGCGAACGGGUGAGUAACGCGUAGGUAACCUGCCUGGUAGCGGGGGAUAACUAUUGGAAACGAUAGCUAAUACCGCAUAAGAGUAGAUGUUGCAUGACAUUUACUUAAAAGGUGCAAUUGCAUCACUACAGAUGGACCUGCGUUGUAUUAGCUAGUUGGUGGGGUAACGGCUUACCAAGGCGACGAUACAUAGCCGACCUGAGAGGGUGAUCGGCCACACUGGGACUGAGACACGGCCCAGACUCCUACGGGAGGCAGCAGUAGGGAAUCUUCGGCAAUGGACGGAAGUCUGACCGAGCAACGCCGCGUGAGUGAAGAAGGUUUUCGGAUCGUAAAGCUCUGUUGUAAGAGAAGAACGAGUGUGAGAGUGGAAAGUUCACACUGUGACGGUAUCUUACCAGAAAGGGACGGCUAACUACGUG
rnacentral:rRNA from 1 species